AUACGGAGGAUGCAAGCGUUAUCCGGAUUUAUUGGGUUUAAAGGGUGCGUAGGCGGUUUGCUAAGCGGGAGGUGAAAUGCCGGCGCUCAACGUCGGAAGUGCCUCCCGAACUGGUGGACUGGAAUGACUCUGCCGUGGGAGGAAUGUGUAGUGUAGCGGUGAAAUGCUUAGAGAUUACACAGAACACCGAUUGCGAAGGCAUCUCACGAAGGGUUGAUUGACGCUGAGGCACGAAAGCGUGGGGAUCAAACAGGAUUAGAUACCCUGGUAGUCCACGCAGUAAACGAUGAUGGCUAACCGCUGGUUUAUUCGGAUCAGUGGCCAAGCGAAAGCGAUAAGCCAUCCACCUGGGGAGUGCGACCGCAAGGUUGAAACUCAAAUGAAUUGGCGGGG
rnacentral:rRNA from 1 species